rnacentral:lncRNA from 1 species
CUACCGGUGGCCGGGCGGGAUGUAACCCGCUGCUGAGCUGGCAGCUCUGUGUCGCUAGGCUUCGGCCCGGCCGCCGCCGCACAUAAGCUGCGAGGAGGAGCUUUACGACUUCCCGGUCUUCGGGGCCGGGCGCAGCAAGGGCCAGACUCUGCGCUAGCAGGCGCUGCGCGCCAACCGGCCGGCACCUGUCGCAGAAGGUGCAACCGAUCGCACUGUCGCGCCGAAGCUCCUCAAUGGCCAGCGCCAGCUGCAGCCCCGGCCGCCCACUCGCCUCACCUGAGCCUGGGAGCUUGAAAAAUCACAUUUGAGAAGAGGAUUGGAUCCUAGCCAUAACAUAAAUAUAAGGGUGGAACCAAAGUUUUAAUCAAAGAAGGUGGUGUUCAGUUGCUGCUUACAAUAGUUGAUACCCCAGGAUUUGGAGAUGCAGUGGAUAACAGUAAUUGCUGGCAGCCUGUUAUCAAUUACAUUGAUAUUAAAUUUGAGGACUACCUAAAUGCAGAAUCGCGAGUGAACAGAUGUCAGAUGCCUGGUAACAGGGUGCAGUGUUGUUUAUACUUCAUUGCUCCUUCAGGACAUGGACCAUUACAUAACUGAAGACUCCCACCUUCAGGCAGGAUUGGGUAGUACGUGUUUGUAACUACCUGGCAUUGCCUUUUGUUGAGGUUAGAUCUUGGGACAGCCCACAUACCUAGACAAACUUAGGCUUUCCAGCUUGCACUGGACCAGGGUGGAAAGGAAGGGUAGAUGUCUACCCAAAUGGAAUAUUGAGUAUCAGAGACUUCAAAUGAUAACUUUUGUUUGUUUGGAGAAAAUCUUGAGGACGUGAUCACUGUACAAAAGCAUGGCAAAAUGAGGAAACCACUGACAGGUGAAGAAUUUGCACAAUGGAAAACCACCUUGACCAUCUCAUGACUUUAUACAGGAAUCGGAGUGAGUUGGACUAUGGAUCAGGUACUGUGCUCAGCAUCAGAAAAUGGGAUGACAAUGAACAGAGUAACAGGACUAUAUUUCUGAAAAAGGAUGAACUUACUGGAAACAGGAUUGCGUGCCUGAAAUAUAUCCAAAUGGAUAUAAAUGUCAACUCAGUUCUGGGCUGGAGAUAUAGAUUUGGAAUGCACCAACAAUGCAGAUGGUAAUCCUGGCAUGCGAGUAGGUGAGAUCAUCCAGGGAGAUGGCCUAUAAUGAGAGCCUACAACAUGUCAGAUUCUGUUCACUCUCUGCUAUCAGUUGCUGUGUCCUUAAGGAAUGCAGACAAUGUUAAUUCAAGCAAAACAAUAGAAAGAAAAUGAUUUGAAAUGAAAACUUGGCUUUAAAAAGUUACAUAAUAUACUCUCAAGCUAAAUAUAGGUUAUUUUUUAGUA